rnacentral:rRNA from 1 species
AAAAGCUUCUAGUGAGAAAACAGCGGCCCGUACCGCAAACCGACACAGGUAGUCGAGGAGAGAAUCCUAAGGUGAGCGAGAGAACUCUCGUUAAGGAACUCGGCAAAAUGCCCCCGUAACUUCGGGAGAAGGGGUGCUGAUCAUACGAUCAGCCGCAGUGAAUAGGCCCAAGCGACUGUUUAUCAAAAACACAGGUCUCUGCAAAAUCGUAAGAUGAAGUA